rnacentral:rRNA from 1 species
AAUGGGCGCAAGCCUGAUCCAGCCAUGCCGCGUGAGUGAAGAAGGCCUUCGGGUUGUAAAGCUCUUUCGGCCGGGAAGAAAUCGCAUGGGUGAAUACCCUGUGUGGAUGACGGUACCGGAACAAGAAGCACCGGCUAACUACGUGCCAGCAGCCGCGGUAAUACGGAGGGUGCGAGCGUUAAUCGGAAUUACUGGGCGUAAAGCGUGCGCAGGCGGCUUUGUAAGACAGGUGUGAAAUCCCCGGGCUUAACCUGGGAAUGGCGCUUGUGACUGCAAGGCUCGAGUGCGGCAGAGGGGGGUGGAAUUCCACAUGUAGCAGUGAAAUGCGUAGAGAUGUGGAGGAACACCGAUGGCGAAGGCAGCCCCCUGGGUCGACACUGACGCUCAUGCACGAAAGCGUGGGGAGCAAA